rnacentral:rRNA from 1 species
UACGUAGGGUGCAAGCGUUGUCCGGAAUUAUUGGGCGUAAAGAGCUCGUAGGCGGUCUGUCGCGUCUGCUGUGAAAACCUAGGGCUUAACUCUGGGCGUGCAGUCGAUACGGGCAGGCUAGAGUUCGGCAGGGGAGACUGGAAUUCCUGGUGUAGCGGUGAAAUGCGCAGAUAUCAGGAGGAACACCGGUGGCGAAGGCGGGUCUCUGGGCCGAUACUGACGCUGAGGAGCGAAAGCGUGGGGAGCGAACAGG